rnacentral:rRNA from 1 species
UGGUGGAGUGAUUUGUCUGGUUAAUUCCGUUAACGAACGAGACCUUUGCGUUCCAAUUUAACUGCUAUUACACUUGUGUAGUUGUAUGUUAUUUGAGGGACUAGCGAUUUUCGUCGACGGAAGUUAGAGGCAAUAACA